rnacentral:rRNA from 1 species
GACGAACGCUGGCGGCGUGCCUAAUACAUGCAAGUCGAACGCAUUUUCUUUCACCGUAGCUUGCUACACCGAAAGAAAAUGAGUGGCGAACGGGUGAGUAACACGUGGGUAACCUGCCCAUCAGCGGGGGAUAACACUUGGAAACAGGUGCUAAUACCGCAUAAUUCCAUUUACCGCAUGGUAGAUGGAUGAAAGGCGCUUUUGCGUCACUGAUGGAUGGACCCGCGGUGCAUUAGCUAGUUGGUGGGGUAACGGCCUACCAAGGCUGCGAUGCAUAGCCGACCUGAGAGGGUGAUCGGCCACACUGGGACUGAGACACGGCCCAGACUCCUACGGGAGGCAGCAGUAGGGAAUCUUCGGCAAUGGACACAAGUCUGACCGAGCAACGCCGCGUGAGUGAAGAAGGGUUUCGGAUCGUAAAACUCGGUUGUUAGAGAAGAACAAGGAUGAGAGUGGAAAGUUCAUCCCUUGACGGUAUCUAACCAGAAAGCCACGGCUAACUACGUG